UUGGAGGGCAAGUCUGGUGCCAGCAGCCGCGGUAAUUCCAGCUCCAAUAGCGUAUAUUAAAGUUGUUGCAGUUAAAAAGCUCGUAGUUGAAUUUCGGGGUUAGUAGGUUGGUCAUGCCUCUGGUAUGUACUGGUCUCACUGAUUCCUCCUUCCUGAUGAGCCGUAAUGCCGUUAAUUUGGUGUUGCGGGGAAUUUGGACUGUUACUUUGAAAAAAUUAGAGUGUUUAAAGCAAGCUAACGCUUGAAUACAUUAGCAUGGAAUAAUGAAAUAGGACGUUCGAUCCUAUUUUGUUGGUUUCUAGGAUUGACGUAAUGAUUAAUAGGGAUAGUUGGGGGCAUUAGUAUUCAAUUGUCAGAGGUGAAAUUCUUGGAUUUAUUGAAGACUAACUACAGCGAAAGCAUUUGCCAAGGAUGUUUUCAUUAAUCAAGAACGAAAGUUAGGGGAUCGAAGACGAUCAGAUACCGUCGUAGUCUUAACCAUAAACUAUGCCGACUAGGGAUCGGAUGAUGUUAAUUUUUUAAUGACUCAUUCGGCGCCUUACGGGAAAC
rnacentral:rRNA from 1 species